rnacentral:rRNA from 1 species
CCUACGGGUGGCAGCAGUGGGGAAUAUUGGACAAUGGGGGGAACCCUGAUCCAGCGACGCCGCGUGAGUGAAGAAGGAUUUCGGUAUGUAAAGCUCUGUCAGCAGGGAAGAAAGCAAUGACGGUACCUGACUAAGAAGCGGCGGCUAACUACGUGGCAGCAGCCGUGGUAAUACGUAGGGGGCAAGCGUUAUCCGGAAUUACGGGGUGUAAAGGGAGCGUAGACGGCUGUGCAAGUCUGGAGUGAAAGGCGGGGGCUCAACCCCCGGACUGCUAGGGAAACUGUAAGGCUGGAGUGCGGGAGAGGUAAGCGGAAUUCGUAGUGUAGCGGUGAAAUGCGUAGAUAUUAGGAGGAACACCAGUGGCGAAGGCAGCUUACUGGACCGUAACUGACGCUGAGGCUCGAAAGCGUGGGGAGCAAACAGGAUUAGAUACCCGGGUAGUC